AGUUCUGCCCAUGGGCACAGGCCAUUGGUCUCAACUGCGCAUGGUUUGCCCUGUAAUGCCCUCCAAAUGACCAGCUGAAAAGAUUGAUAGUCUAGAGCAGAGGACCUGCGGCACCUGAUCCACAGACCAGACAGUUAGGAGGCUUCUUUGUCCUCCCAGAAGUGCAAGCAAAGUUUUGGUGUUCAUCAAAUGAGUGAUCAAUGACAGGCUAUCACACCUACUGCAAAAAUAUAUGGCACUUCCCUCUCCACCUCCACAGUGGGCUGUGAAAAUUAAUUGAGUUCAGGCUGUGAAAAACUUAAGCUGCUACAUGAAAUGCAAAAUCAUUAAGCUUCAGAGAUUGUAACAUUCUGCUUGUGGCCUUGGGACUGAAACACCAGAUGUCAUGCCCAAUAAUGACUUCACUUUUCAUCCAACUUCAACAACUCAAGAUUGAGCGCAUUUUGGGUUUUGACCUUGCACUGCUAUACUGAGAUUCAGCAGAAGUUAACUACCCGCAAGACUCCCUCCAGAGAACUGGGGCCUCAGGAUCAUCUUCAACACCUUCACCCAGAGUACGGAGACAAAACCCUUGCCACAUAGACCUGCCACACCACAAUACCAGGUGGAGAUGCACCGUUGCUUGAGUUGGUCCACCAAGAAAGUUGCCAUAGAAGCCUGAAGUUACGACAGCUUAUAAGGAAGUGGUUAUCGAUUAUGACGGAUGGAGAAAGUGGCAAACGUGGCUGAAAGUGGACAUUUUUGCCUUGACAACUCCAUCUGCUCCUCCUCUAUGAAAGCUCCAUCCAGGGCCAGGCGCGGUGGCUCAUGCCUGUAAUCAACACUUUGGGAGGCCAAGAGAUGCCCAGGUCCCAAAUGUAAUAAUUCCAUGGUAUGAUGGGUUGCUGCUGCACCUGUCUGAUUGAGAUGUUUCCCAGUCUGGUCUUGAAUUCCUCAGCUCAAGCGACCCUCCUGCCACAGCCUCCCAAAGUUCUGGGAUUACAGGCAUGACCCACCAUGCCUGGCUACCUUGAGGACCUUAAAAGAGGGAGCAUAUCCUGAAUUAUCCAGGUGGACCCAAUGUAAUCUGAAGGGUCCCCAUAUGAGGGAGGUAGAGGAGGAUUUGACUACAGAACAGAAGGCAAUGUGACAACUGAAGCAAAAUGCUACACGCUGGCUUGGAGGAUGGAGGAAGGAGCCAUAAGCCAAGGAAUGCCAGCAGUCACCGGGAGCUGAAAAAGGUGAAGAAAUGGACACUCCCCGAGCCUGUAGAGCAAGUAUGGCCCUAUUGACCCUUGAUCUCAGCCAAGAGAAAUUGAUUUCAGACUUCUGACCCCCAGAACUGUACGGCAAUAAAUGCGUGCUGUUUUAAGCAA